UCGGCAAUAGUUUAGUGGCUAGAAUUUCCGCCUGUCAAGUUCUGUUCGGAACAGCACGCGGGGGACCGGGGUUCAAUUCCCCGUUGCCGAG
rnacentral:tRNA from 1 species